AAUCUUGGCAGCAAAACCCUGUCUCCAAUCCGAUAGAACUCUGUAUUUUACAAGGGGAGAAAAAGAUAGGGGAGAUAUAUACAUACAAACAUCUAUCUAUAGAUACAGAGAUAGAGAGAGAAACAAAGAAGAAACACCCCUCUUUUAUUAGGUCAACUUCUACAAAGUUCUUGGUUUUUCUUACUUCAAAUCGUGAAAAUGGACCCCUUGGCUGAAGAGCAAUUAGAUUAUGAAGAGGAGGAAUAUGGAGCACCACAGAAGAUGCAAUAUCAUGGAGGUGGUGCAAUAUCUGCUCUUGCUGAGGAUGAGAAUAUAGGCGAGGAUGACGAGUAUGAUGAUCUCUACAAUGAUGUUAAUGUUGGUGACGGUUUCCUUCAGUUUCAGCGGUCUGAGGCAUCAGGUCCAUCUGCUGGUGGUGCUGUUAAUGGGGGAUUUCAGACUCAAAAAGCUACUGUUCCUGAACCUAGACCAGAAAAUAUUUUGCCAAAAGAGGCAAACAUUCAUGGAGUACCCAAUGAUGGGAAGUAUACCAAUACUGGAGUUCCGUUUCCGGACCCAAAGGAACGGCUGCCGACUGAAAUGGUACCAAAUAUUGGCUCAAAUAAUACUUCACAAAAAUCAGUUGCUCCAGGUACUAUUCAUGAUGCUCAAGCAUCAAAUAUGGGGUUCCGUGGCCCGGCACCUGUGGCUCAGAAUACCGGCCUUAACCCUGUUGACAUGUCAGGUAAAGUUGGCAAUGAGCCUGUGCCUUCGCAUAAUCCCAACAGAGGUGUCCCCCAAGGUGUUUCACAGGUGCCGCCUAAUCAUUCAAAUGUUAAUGCGAACAUGAAUCGCCAAAUUGCCAAUGAUAACCCAAUUAGGCCAGCUGGAGACAAUGGUGCGACUAUGCUCUUUGUAGGGGAACUCCAUUGGUGGACUACAGAUGCAGAAAUCGAGAGUGUCUCGUCUCAGUAUGGACCGGUUAAAGAGAUAAAGUUUUUCGAUGAGAAAGCUAGUGGUAAAUCCAAGGGUUAUUGUCAGGUUGAGUUUUAUGACUCAGCCUCUGCAGCUGCAUGCAAAGAAGGAAUGAAUGGCUACAUAUUUAAUGGGCGUGCUUGUGUGGUGGCAUUUGCUUCUCCACAAACUAUAAAGCAGAUGGGGGCUUCUUAUAUGAAUAAAUCACAAGUCCAGCCUCAAUCUCAGCAACAGGGGAGGAGGCCUAUGAACGAUAAUGCAGGAAGAGGUGGCGGUACAAAUUAUCCCAGUGGAGAUUCUGGCAGAGGGUAUGGAAGAGGUGGGUGGGGGAGAGGACAAGGAGUUGGUAAUAGAGGUGGUGGGCAUAUGAGGGGAAUGGGUGGCAAUAUGGGACCAAAGAAUAUGCCAAAUGCCCCUGGUGUUGGAGCUGGUGGAAAUGCGGGAGGUUAUGGGCAAGGGAUGGGAGGACCUGCAUUUGGUGGUCCACCUGGUGGUUUCAUGCAUCCUCAGGGUAUGAUGGGUGGUGGGUUUGACCCAACCUAUAUGGGUCGAGGAUCUGGUUAUGGAGGUUUUCCAGGUCCUGCUUUUCCUGGAAUGAUGCCUCCUUUUCCAAAUGUUAAUGCGAUGGGAAUUGCUGGUGUGUCUCCUCAUGUCAAUCCAGCAUUUUUUGGCAGGGGAAUGGCUGCUAAUGGAAUGGGGAUGAUGGGGAAUGCUGGGAUGGAUGGACCUCAUUCUGGAAUGUGGAAUGAUUCCAACAUGGGAGGAUGGGCUGGCGAGGAACAUGGACAAAGGACUAGAGAGUCGAGUUAUGGUGGUGAAGAUGGUGGUUCUGAGUAUGGGUAUGGAGACCCAGGUAAUGAAAAAAGUACAAGGUCAAAUCCUGCUUCACGCGAGAAGGAACGGGGGUCGGAGCGUGACUGGUCUGGGAACUCUGAGAAGAGGCAUCGUGAUGAGAGGGAUCAGGACAGGGACAGGUACGACAGGGAGCACCGAUACAGAGAGGAAAAGGAUGAUUAUCGUGAACAUCGACAAAAAGAUCGUGACUCUUACAAGGAUGAUGGGGAUCGGGGACAAGCUUCUUCGAGAUCUAGGAGCAGAUCACGUGUUGCACCAGAGGAGGAUCAUAGGUCUCGUUCAAGGGAUGCAGACUAUGGGAAGAGGAGACGCCUACCAUCGGACUGAUGUAAUCUGCCCCUCAUUGUUCUUCUUGAGGGAUCUAUCAGAUCUGGCAUUUCUGUUUCCUGGUGUCCAUCAGAUUACUGGAUGAACCUGCAGCUGGUUCUUUUUGUUUUUGAUGGUGAUGCAUGCAGAAUGCUUCCCCAUUAAAAAAGUAAGUUUCGGCAGGAUGCGUUGGAGCCCAUGUGGUUAUCUGGAGAAAGAUGUGCAAAAUUUGCUGCUUUCAUUGGACUCAUCUGAAAUCGGUUGUGCCAAAGCAGCAUUUAUGAGACUGACCAUCAUUGUAGACUUGUAAAUUUUAUAAUUGUAUUCCUGCAAAAAAGAUAUCUAGAAAGAGGUUGUCAUUCUGCACAUAAAGCACCAAUAUGCGUUGUUUGUCAUUGUGUCAUUGAAUGUAAUGCAGUACUUUUUGAUAUUGUAACGCAUCUCAGAUAACCAGCUUGUAUAGUUUGGUCACUAUUAAGGUUCUGGCUUUGUUCUGGUUAUAGGAUUUUGUUUUAAUUUGUCUAGUGUAUGUUGUAAAUGGUAACCAUAAAUGUAAACCUGCUAAUGGUGUAAUGGGGGAUCAUGUGUCGUGGAUCGCUCUCGUCCCUGUAACCUUAGAACUCAUAUGUAAUAGUCAAAUGUAAAUCCAUUAGUAAUUUUGUGUAAAAUUUCUUGCUUGUCCAUCUAUCCAUACCGAAUAUCAAGGUGCCUGCAGCCAGAAGCUCUAGAGUCCUUGAAGGUUGGCUGGAAGCCUCCAAUGUGCUGUAUCUGUCUGUUCAUUCUAUCACUAAGAGUCGGUGUUUUGCUACAUGUAUAUAUCUCAAAUCUACAUUUAGAUCAUGAUCAUUGUAAUGUAGUCGGCCUACUUUCCUGUAAUUUUUGCUGAAUUCAGAUGUCAUAAAUCUGUUCUAGCUUCUAUAUUUUUAAGUUCUUGCUGAACUUGUUUCUUUUUGUUUAGAAUUGGUUUUGCAGUUGUUGAGAGGAUAUAUAUAAUCUUCGGCCUUGGCUGUAGUAAAGCCCAACAGUUUUAGUUUGUAUAUUUAUUGUGUUGCAAGA